AGAGUUGCAGAUAUGUUUGAGUUUGUUGGCUAUGACCUAGAUGACGAACGAUCUGAAUUUGUCCGGUCGCUUGCGCGCCGAGGUUCAUGGCCUCCGGCUUAGGUGGUUGUUUUUGUUUUUUCUUUUCGUUUAUCGUAGGUUUUGCGUGUAUUUCUUUGACAUGAUUUGAUGUGUUUAUGUAGUUGCCAUAUCCUAUCCUUCACAUCUUUGGUGAGAGGGAUAGGGUACGCUGGGUGGCGGAGGCUUCUGAGGAUGUUGCUGAGCCUUUUCUUCAAGGUUUUCCGGAGGUUCGAAAGCUUCGUUAAGCUUUUUGGUUUUAUCCUUCGCUUGUGUUGGUUUUGAAGUUGCUAUUUUCUGCGCAGGUUGUGAGUUCUGCUCCGUUGGAAGAUCUUCCUUCGAACUUUGUCGAAGGAAGCUACGUUACCCCGGUGACGUUCAAGCGUGGAGAUCUGUACGCGAGGGGUUAUCUAAUUGACUGGUGGCGCCAUAAGUAUCCUACGCGUAGUAUUGAUGUCUUAGUUGAUUUCCUUGUUCGUGAUUAGUGUGAUGAUCUUAGGCUUUUUCCAGAUUCGUAUGUAAGAAUUGUGCGAGGGUCUUAGAACCUUCGACGUUUGACGGUCGGAGGAUGUUUCUCGUUUUUUGUUGUA
rnacentral:lncRNA from 1 species